GCAUCGCGCGAGCCUGAUGCAGCCAUGCCGCGUGUGUGAAGAAGGCCUUCGGGUUGUAAAGACACAGCGAGGAGGAAAGGUUACUGGCUAAUAUCCAGUAGCUGUGACGUUACUCGCAGAAGAAGCACCGGCUAACUCCGUGCCAGCAGCCGCGGUAAUACGGAGGGUGCGAGCGUUAAUCGGAAUUACUGGGCGUAAAGCGUGCGCAGGCGGUUUGUUAAGCGAGAUGUGAAAGCCCCGGGCUCAACCUGGGAACUGCAUUUUGAACUGGCAAACUAGAGUCUUGUAGAGGGGGGUAGAAUUCCAGGUGUAGCGGUGAAAUGCGUAGAGAUCUGGAGGAAUACCGGUGGCGAAGGCGGCCCCCUGGACAAAGACUGACGCUCAUGCACGAAAGCGUGGGGAGCAAACAGGAUUAGAUACCCUGGUAGUCCACGCCGUAAACGAUGUCUACUCGGAGUUUGGUGUCUUGAACACUGGGCUCUCAAGCUAACGCAUUAAGUAGACCGCCUGGGGAGUACGGCCGCAAGGUUAAAACUCAAAUGAAUUUGACGGGGA
rnacentral:rRNA from 1 species